CUGAGAGCUACUACCAUGGGGUGGGACUGUCAGCCAGCUCUGGCAGAGUUCCACUGUGCCAUCAGCCAGAUUCUAGUCUUUAGCUCUAAUGUGGACAAAGAAUAGGAAACACUGAGAGAAACUCAAGUCAGUGUUUCGAGAAGGAAGCACAGAGAAUGAAGGACCGUGGUUGGCCUCAUACUGGGGCACUGGAAGUGAGUGGAAUUUGAUGAGAGAAAUCUGUGAAGAUUUUCAAGAAGAGAUGAAGAGAGCUGAAAAGAGAUGUUUUCAUCCCUCCCACCUCAUCAUGCCACCAACUGGGCUCCUUGCCUUCACUCACACCUUGACUCAGUCUCCCUCCUUUCUUUCUCUCAUUCCUAGCCUACUGGUGAAGCUGAAGACUUUCCCACCUGAAACUUCAGUGCUGCCCUCCUUAGUGCCUUUGACUUCCUCUGUGGCUACUACCCCAAUCAGCCACACCAGUCCUCAGUUCUGGAUCUUCCUCUACCCUUGUCUUCCAUCUUCCCUAAUAAUUGCCCCUGGCCCUCAGAAUACAGACGAAACAUGAAGUGGA